GUCACCCUGGAGGACGGACCGCCGCUCGACGUCACCGUCGUCGACCGGGAGCAGCAGGCGCACGGGUUCUUCUACCGGGUGUGGCGCC
rnacentral:tRNA from 1 species